GACAGAGGGGGCAAGCGUUGCUCGGAAUUACUGGGCGUAAAGGGCGCGUAGGCGGGAUGGCAAGUCGGUCGUGAAAUCCCUCGGCUCAACCGAGGAACGUCGAUCGAUACUGCUGUUCUUGAGGAUUGCAGAGGAGACUGGAAUUCCCGGUGUAGCGGUGAAAUGUGUAGAGAUCGGGAGGAACACCGGUGGCGAAGGCGGGUCUCUGGGCAAUUCCUGACGCUAAGGCGCGAAAGCGUGGGGAGCAAACGGG
rnacentral:rRNA from 1 species